GCUACCUACUUAUGUCAGUGAUUCUCUACAAACUUUGUCAGAAGCUGAUGAAGACGAUGACAUUCAUGAGGACAAAUCCGCAGAAUGGAGUAGCGGUGAUGAAGAUAAUCGAGAUACCGACGAGGACGAUGAAGUUGAUUAAAUAUUUUUUUUGAUUUAAUAAUAAUGUUUGACACAUUAUAUUUUUACUUUGUAUUGUAAUGGCUAUAAUUAUAAAUAUAAUUGAAAUCUUUUUCGA